AAGCAUUUGAGGAAGAGGAGGAGGGUGAAGAGGGCGACGAAGCGAGGGCUGAAGUCGUCCCUGAAGACGGUGAAGGCCAGGCAAGUCUCCGUCACGGCGUACCACGACCGCUCCAGCUUUGUCCCCCAUGAUGGCACCGCCGCCUCCUCCAGCCCUGGCAACAGAUCCGCCCGUCCCUGGCGCCGAAUUGAAACCGUUCCUCGCCAUCGCUCACCUCCAUCUCCGCUGCCCGCAGCUGCCCGAAAAAAACUUUGCCCAUAAAUUUCCCCAGGAGAAAAAACCAACACGAAGGCCUGGAUGUAGAGAACCUGCGAGGGAAAAGCAGGGAGGGG